rnacentral:sRNA from 1 species
GUGGACGUUGCAUAAGUCCUGUACUGGCCGUUUGCUGGGACCCACAGAAAAUCAUUGCCAGACUUUGACAAGGACGGUGUGUGCAGAACAAUGUGACGGCAGAUGCUACGGACCUUACGUCAGUGACUGCUGCCAUCGAGAAUGUGCUGGAGGCUGCUCAGGACCUAAGGACACAGACUGCUUUGCCUGCAUGAAUUUCAAUGACAGUGGAGCAUGUGUUACUCAGUGUCCCCAAACCUUUGUUUACAAUCCAACCACUUUUCAACUGGAGCACAAUUUCAAUGCAAAGUACACAUAUGGAGCAUUCUGUGUCAAGAAAUGUCCACAUAACUUUGUGGUAGAUUCCAGUUCUUGUGUGCGUGCCUGCCCUAGUUCCAAGAUGGAAGUAGAAGAAAAUGGGAUUAAAAUGUGUAAACCUUGCACUGACAUUUGCCCAAAAGCUUGUGAUGGCAUUGGCACAGGAUCAUUGAUGUCAGCUCAGACUGUGGAUUCCAGUAACAUUGACAAAUUCAUAAACUGUACCAAGAUCAAUGGGAAUUUGAUCUUUCUAGUCACUGGUAUUCAUGGGGACCCUUACAAUGCAAUUGAAGCCAUAGACCCAGAGAAACUGAAUGUCUUUCGGACCGUCAGAGAGAUAACAGGUUUCCUGAACAUACAGUCAUGGCCACCAAACAUGACUGACUUCAGUGUUUUUUCUAACCUGGUGACCAUUGGUGGAAGAGUACUCUAUAGUGGCCUGUCCUUGCUUAUCCUCAAGCAACAGGGCAUCACCUCUCUACAGUUCCAGUCCCUGAAGGAAAUCAGCGCAGGAAACAUCUAUAUUACUGACAACAGCAACCUGUGUUAUUAUCAUACCAUUAACUGGACAACACUCUUCAGCACAAUCAACCAAAGAAUAGUAAUCCGGGACAAUAGAAAAGCUGAAAAUUGUACUGCUGAAGGAAUGGUGUGCAACCAUCUGUGUUCCAGUGAUGGCUGUUGGGGACCUGGGCCAGACCAAUGUCUGUCGUGUCGCCGCUUCAGUAGAGGAAGGAUCUGCAUAGAGUCUUGUAACCUCUAUGAUGGUGAAUUUCGGGAGUUUGAGAAUGGCUCCAUCUGUGUGGAGUGUGACCCCCAGUGUGAGAAGAUGGAAGAUGGCCUCCUCACAUGCCAUGGACCGGGUCCUGACAACUGUACGAAGUGCUCUCAUUUUAAAGAUGGCCCAAACUGUGUGGAAAAAUGUCCAGAUGGCUUACAGGGGGCAAACAGUUUCAUUUUCAAGUAUGCUGAUCCAGAUCGGGAGUGCCACCCAUGCCAUCCAAACUGCACCCAAGGGUGUAACGGUCCUACUAGUCAUGACUGCAUUUACUACCCAUGGACGGGCCAUUCCACUUUACCACAACAUGCUAGAACUCCCCUGAUUGCAGCUGGAGUAAUUGGUGGGCUCUUCAUUCUGGUCAUUGUGGGUCUGACAUUUGCUGUUUAUGUUAGAAGGAAGAGCAUCAAAAAGAAAAGAGCCUUGAGAAGAUUCUUGGAAACAGAGUUGGUGGAACCAUUAACUCCCAGUGGCACAGCACCCAAUCAAGCUCAACUUCGUAUUUUGAAAGAAACUGAGCUGAAGAGGGUGAAAGUCCUUGGCUCAGGUGCUUUUGGAACGGUUUAUAAAGGUAUUUGGGUACCUGAAGGAGAAACUGUGAAGAUUCCUGUGGCUAUUAAGAUUCUUAAUGAGACAACUGGUCCCAAGGCAAAUGUGGAGUUCAUGGAUGAAGCUCUGAUCAUGGCAAGUAUGGAUCAUCCACACCUAGUCCGGUUGCUGGGUGUGUGUCUGAGCCCAACCAUCCAGCUGGUUACUCAACUUAUGCCCCAUGGCUGCCUGUUGGAGUAUGUCCACGAGCACAAGGAUAACAUUGGAUCACAACUGCUGCUUAACUGGUGUGUCCAGAUAGCUAAGGUAAGUGCCUGUCAAUUUCUAUGGAAAUUACAUUUUUAGGUUAAUAUUUCCUAACCUGGAACAGUUUUCAUAUUGAAAAUAUGUUAAGUCUUCCCAUUAAAUAAAAUGAAGUAUAUUUGCUACAUUGAAAGAUACAUAACAG